CCAGGAGGUGGCGGUGAGUGAUGAACAUUCUAUGUUAAAUGUAAAACCAGGGUGAGAUUAUCUGUUGUUUAUAGACUUCCCUAUGGCAUUCACUGCAGUGUUACAUGAGCACCCCAUAACAUUAAUGGACUUAUCCUCCACACCGAUGGGAGAGAUGGUUCGUACAACUUUCUGCUGUGGAAUCAUACAGCAAUAACCAUGGGAGCUUUGAAGGUGAAACCUCUGGCAGCAAGGAGAGGUUCCCAGAAGUGGGUGUGACCUGGCCACAGGAGCAGCUGUGCAGAAGAGGAAGGCCUGUCCCUCCCCAGCCUGGAUGGGACUAGCAACUAGAGCCCAGUGCAUGGUAGGAGCCCCUAGCUAGAGCACCCCCAGCCCUGCCCCUCUCUGACUCCAGGCCCAGUAUUAGGGGGUUAAAGGGCCUUGGGCUGACUGGGGGGUGGGGAACCAUGGUGUUCCCUAGACUACUGGGCCCUAGACAGUCAACCACCUAAAAGUAAUGAUCACCCCAUACCAUGCCACCCUCACUUCUGCGCUACUGCUGGCAACAGUACAGCUGUCGGAGCCGGGGUUCAAGGCCAGCAGCCACUGCUCUCCAGCCAUCCAGCUCUGAAGGCAGCACCGCUGCCAGCAGCAGCACUGAAGUGAGGGUGGCAACACCAUGACCCUGCCCGACUUUCGUUUGGAUUGGGAUCCUACAGUUACAACACCAUGAAAUUUACCAUUUUUU